CCUACGGGUGGCAGCAGUGAGGAAUAUUGGUCAAUGGACGAGAGUCUGAACCAGCCAAGUAGCGUGAAGGAUGACUGCCCUAUGGGUUGUAAACUUCUUUUAUAUGGGAAUAAAAUGUUCCACGUGUGGGCUUUUGUAUGUACCCUGUGAAUAAAGAUCGGCUAACUCCGUGCCAGCAGCCGCGGUAAUACGGAGGAUCCGGGCGUUAUCCGGAUUUAUUGGGUUUAAAGGGAGCGUAGGUGGAUUGUUAAGUCAGUUGUGAAAGUUUGCGGCUCAACCGUAAAAUUGCAGUUGAAACUGGCAGUCUUGAGUACAGUAGAGGUGGGCGGAAUUCGUGGUGUAGCGGUGAAAUGCUUAGAUAUCACGAAGAACUCCGAUUGCGAAGGCAGCUCACUGGACUGCAACUGACACUGAGGCUCGAAAGUGUGAGUAUCAAACAGGAUUAGAUACCCCUGUAGUC
rnacentral:rRNA from 1 species